AGAGUUUGAUCAUGGCUCAGAUUGAACGCUGGCGGCAUGCCUUACACAUGCAAGUCGAACGACGGCAGGGGGCAACUCCUGUCGAGUGGCGAACGGGUGAGUAAUACAUCGGAACGUGUCCUGUCGUGGGGGAUAACCAGUCGAAAGACUGGCUAAUACCGCAUGAGAUCGAAAGAUGAAAGCGGGGGACCGCAAGGCCUCGCGCGAUAGGAGCGGCCGAUGCCGGAUUAGCUAGUUGGCGGGGUAAAAGCCCACCAAGGCGACGAUCCGUAGCUGGUUUGAGAGAACGACCAGCCACACUGGGACUGAGACACGGCCCAGACUCCUACGGGAGGCAGCAGUGGGGAAUUUUGGACAAUGGGCGCAAGCCUGAUCCAGCCAUGCCGCGUGUGUGAAGAAGGCCUUCGGGUUGUAAAGCACUUUCGGUGGGAACGAAACGGGCACGGCUAAUACCCGUGUUCAAUGACGGUACUCACAGAAGAAGCC
rnacentral:rRNA from 1 species